rnacentral:lncRNA from 1 species
UACUCAUUAUUUUCCUUAAUAAUCUAAGUCUCUUGAGCAUAAAAUUUCUGAUUUAUGUUUAUAUUCUGAGCUCUUAGCACAGAAACUUGCACAGGAUAGGCAUUUAGUAAAUAUUAGCUGAGUAAAUGGAUACAGUGAUGGACAAUUUGAAUCUGGAGAAUGAUGUAAAAGGUGUAAUAUUUUAAAGCAAAGCAACUCUAAAUCUUUGUCCAGUAGAAGUAUCACGGGUAACUUGUCAAGAGUGUGAAGGAAGGAAGGAAUUCUAAAUAUAUAGGGUCUGAACCUAUCUAAAGGAAGUUAUUAACUAUAUUAAUGAGAAGUUUAAGGCAGCAUGACUGAUUGAAAUGGAUUGUUAUUACUGCAACUCAUUUCAGUAGAUAAAUUGAACAAAUUGUAGGAUUUCUAAAUCAUUCAAAGCUCAGACACAAACCUAUAUAAUGUGUGUUAUUUGUAUGGUUCUUCUGUAAAUAUAACAAACUGAAAAAAAUAAAUACUUAACUUCCUCCAUCCUAACCCACUCCAAAUUAGUGUCUGAUGAGUGAACUGAGACUUUAACUUUCUAAUGGUAAAUUUGUCGUGGCACAUGAUUCAGUCUUUCAGAUCUACAUAAAUUUGGAGGAGAAACUUUAAAUAACAGAUGAAAAGAUGCAUGGAGCGGUAGAAACCACAGAAUGGUACUUGUGAAGCAGAAAAGCUGAGACAUGCCUAGGGAAAUAGGCGUACGCAAAGGAAAAUGCUAAUUGCUCAAAUGAUUGGCAGGAUCCAGGUGAACAAAUAAAUGCCAGAGCCUAAGUGUAUGGGUGAUGACAUAAUAUUAGCCAUGGCAGAGUGAGCAUGUUAGAAAAAAUGUCAACUCAUUUUCUGGAGUGCCUUGCCAGUCUGGAAGCAUGUGCCCUGAAAGCUUAGUGACCAAAUGUUAAACUGCCUGAGAUGGCUGCAGGACACAUUUAGGGCUCAGAGCUGCACGCCUACUCUGCGAGGCCCUUCUCAUCUUUCCAAGUAGUUACAUAUAAUACAUUAGUGUGGAAAUGAAAAAGUGAGGUGGUAGGAGAACUUAUUUUUUUCAAAUUGUUUAAGAAACUGCUUUGUUAUUUCAUCAAGGCCCUCAGAAGAACUGAUGGGGGGAAAAUUUAGAAAACAAAAUCCUUACUGACACUUGACAUCCAUGCUUUUGGUCUUGA